rnacentral:lncRNA from 1 species
GCUGAAGUUAGUGAAACUGGACGUUAGCGUGAUGCUACGUUACGGACACGAGUUGCUCCUGAAGUGUUUUGUGUUUUCAGCUCAGUUGGAUCAACUCUCCUCCGUUGAGUCCAGACUGACAGACGGACUGAACAGCACCACAGGUUCAGAUUGAUUCCCUUCACAGUUUGUACAACACACUUGAUGAUGAUUAUUGAUAAAUCUGAUAGUUACUGUUUCCUGUUCAGCUCUGCAGCUCCGACUGAGCAUCUGUGAGAAACAGCUGGAACACCUGGAGACAGAGAACACAGGUAACACUGCAGGUGAACAUGUCUCAAACACACGGGUCAGGUUUCUGUGUUUCUGUCUCAUCCUGGUUCUGUUGCAGGUUUUGGCCUCAGACUGAAUCAGACUGACGAUCGUCUGCAGGAGCUCACAGACACAAACUCAGGUGGGCUGGAGCUGAAGGUGGCGUUCUCAGCCGGUCUGACUGAUUCAGGAUCAGUUGGACCGUUUGACAAGGAGACGACUCUGAUCUUCUCCAAAGUCAUCACCAACGUGGGCGGAGCCUACAACCAGACCGCAGGUGACGUGUACUUCAGCUGGUUGGAUAUAUACGUAGAUAGACGAUGUCAUGUGAUCUCAUCUUUUUUGAUGGACUUCUCCUUUAAACCCUCCCUCCUGUGUGACUGUGUUAACUCCGCCCUGCUCUGUGUCUGUCAGGUGUGUUAACUCCGCCCUGCUCUGUGUCUGUCAGGUGUGUUAACUCCGCCCUGCUCUGUGUCUGUCAGGUGUGUUAAAGGUCUCAUAUUAUGACAAACAGGUUUUCUCUGCUCUCUACAUAUAUAAGCUGGUCCUCGCUGAGCCUGUGGUCCACCCACUGGUAACACGGCGCUCCUACAGGCUGUUCAGAUUCUGCUCCUGUCGUUACGUAAGGAAAGGAGUCAUUAUCGUAGCCCCGCCUCCUCUGAGCGGUGAUAGGAGAUAUCAGAGAGGGGGGCGUUCAUCCCCGAGGUGAAGUUCCGUGUGUCCAGCGGAGAGACAGCGGUGUUUCACAAUGUCGUCGCUCAGAGCUAGACACGCAGUUACUCUGUUGUUGGUUGUAUAAAUUAACAUCAGUGCCUAUAUUCUGUCCCAGCUACAGAACAACAGAAGAGACCGUGGUUGUGUUUCAUUUUUAAUGACAACGUGCCGGCUGCGGUUCGUGUUAGCUUGUAUGUGUGUGCUAACCUCUUUACAUCUGACUGCUUCAGUAACGAGUGUCAGUACAAAGCUGGCUUUGCCUCGACACUGACCCUCAUAAAAGGAUCAGUCCCAACCAUACCGGACCCAGCAACUGCACCCGAGCCACAGGUAAGUGUCGCCGCGGUUUGAUAGUAUUUACACUUGCCGAUGAGUAACGUUAUGGUGAAGUCAGCUGGAAACUAGCUAACUAGUUAGCUCCGCUUCGGUCCGCUAUGUUAUGGCAUUUGAAGCGAGUUUUAUGUUAAUAAUAUAACGAGG